GCGUGAGUGAGGAAGGCCUUAGGGUUGUAAAGCUCUUUCGCACGCGACGAUGAUGACGGUAGCGUGAGAAGAAGCCCCGGCUAACUUCGUGCCAGCAGCCGCGGUAAUACGAAGGGGGCGAGCGUUGUUCGGAUUUACUGGGCGUAAAGGGCGCGCAGGCGGCAGAUCAAGUCAGACGUGAAAGCCCCGGGCUUAACCUGGGAACUGCGUUUGGGACUGAUUUGCUAGAGAUCGGGAGAGGAGAGUGGAAUUCCCAGUGUAGAGGUGAAAUUCGU
rnacentral:rRNA from 1 species